UACAGAGGGUGCGAGCGUUAAUCGGAAUUACUGGGCGUAAAGCGCACGUAGGCGGCUUUGUAAGUUAGAGGUGAAAGCCUGGAGCUCAACUCCAGAACUGCCUUUAAGACUGCAUCGCUUGAAUCCAGGAGAGGUGAGUGGAAUUCCGAGUGUAGAGGUGAAAUUCGUAGAUAUUCGGAAGAACACCAGUGGCGAAGGCGGCUCACUGGACUGGUAUUGACGCUGAGGUGCGAAAGCGUGGGGAGCAAACAGG
rnacentral:rRNA from 1 species